CGGGUGAGUAACACGUGAGGAACCUGCCCCGAAGACCGGGACAACACCGGGAAACCGGUGCUAAUACCGGAUACCUUCACCGGAUCGCAUGGUCUGGUGAAGAAAUGGAUUCCGCUUCGGGAUGGCCUCGCGGCCUAUCAGCUAGUUGGUGAGGUAACGGCUCACCAAGGCGACGACGGGUAGCUGGUCUGAGAGGAUGUCCAGCCACACUGGGACUGAGACACGGCCCAG
rnacentral:rRNA from 1 species